rnacentral:rRNA from 1 species
ACGAGCUUCCGUUGAAUGACGUGCUUGCACUGAUUUUAACAAUGAAGCGAGUGGCGAACUGGUGAGUAACACGUGGGAAAUCUGCCCAGAAGCAGGGGAUAACACUUGGAAACAGGUGCUAAUACCGUAUAACAACAAAAUCCGCAUGGAUUUUGUUUGAAAGGUGGCUUCGGCUAUCACUUCUGGAUGAUCCCGCGGCGUAUUAGUUAGUUGGUGAGGUAAAGGCCCACCAAGACGAUGAUACGUAGCCGACCUGAGAGGGUAAUCGGCCACAUUGGGACUGAGACACGGCCCAAACUCCUACGGGAGGCAGCAGUAGGGAAUCUUCCACAAUGGACGAAAGUCUGAUGGAGCAAUGCCGCGUGAGUGAAGAAGGGUUUCGGCUCGUAAAACUCUGUUGUUAAAGAAGAACACCUUUGAGAGUAACUGUUCAAGGGUUGACGGUAUUUAACCAGAAAGCCACGGCUAACUACGUGCCAGCAGCCGCGGUAAUACGUAGGUGGCAAGCGUUGUCCGGAUUUAUUGGGCGUAAAGCGAGCGUAGGCGGUUUUUUAAGUCUGAUGUGAAAGCCUUCGGCUUAACCGGAGAAGUGCAUCGGAAACUGGGAGGCUUGAGUGCAGAAGAGGACAGUGGAACUCCAUGUGUAGCGGUGGAAUGCGUAGAUAUAUGGAAGAACACCAGUGGCGAAGGCGGCUGUCUAGUCUGUAACUGACGCUGAGGCUCGAAAGCAUGGGUAGCGAACAGGAUUAGAUACCCUGGUAGUCCAUGCCGUAAACGAUGAGUGCUAAGUGUUGGAGGGUUUCCGCCCUUCAGUGCUGCAGCUAACGCAUUAAGCACUCCGCCUGGGGAGUACGACCGCAAGGUUGAAACUCAAAGGAAUUGACGGGGGCC